CCUACGGUGGUCAGCAGUGAGGAAUAUUGGUCCAUGGUCGCGAGCCUGAACCAGCCAAGUAGCGUGAAGGCUGACUGCCCUACGGGUUUUACACUUCUUUUAUAAAGGAAUAAAGUGAGGCCCGUGUGCCUUUUUGUAUGUACUUUAUGAAUAAGGAUCGGCUAACUCCGUGCCAGCAGCCGCGUUAAUACGGAGGAUCCGAGCGUUAUCCGGAUUUAUUGGGUUUAAAGGGAGCGUAGAGGGGUUGUUAAGUCAGUUGUGAAAGUUUGCGGCUCAACCGUAAAAUUGCAAUUGAUACUGGCAGCCUUGAGUACAGUUGAGGUAGGCGGAAUUCGUGGUGUAGCGGUGAAAUGCUUAGAUAUCACGAAGAACUCGGAUUGCGAAGGCAGCUUACUAAACUGCCACUGACAUUGAUGCUCGAAAGUGUGGGUAUCAAACAGGAUUAGAUACCCUAGUAGUC
rnacentral:rRNA from 1 species